rnacentral:rRNA from 1 species
GUAGGGAAUAUUGGGCAAUGGAGGCAACUCUGACCCAGCCAUGCCGCGUGCAGGAAGACGGUCCUCUGGAUUGUAAACUGCUUUUGAAUGGGAAGAACAUACGGUUUGCGAACCGUACUGACGGUACUAUUAGAAUAAGCACCGGCUAACUCCGUGCCAGCAGCCGCGGUAAUACGGAGGGUGCAAGCGUUAUCCGGAUUUAUUGGGUUUAAAGGGUGCGUAGGCGGCCUUAUAAGUCGGUGGUUAAAGGUAGCAGCUUAACUGUUUUACAUGCCAUCGAUACUGUAGGGCUUGAGUGAUUUGGAGGUAGCUAGAAUUCCCUGUGUAGCGGUGAAAUGCAUAGAUACGGGGAGGAAUACCGAUUGCGAAGGCAUGUUACUACGAAUUAACUGACGCUGAGGCACGAAAGCGUGGGGAUCAAACAGGAUUAGAAACCCUAGUAGUCC